AUUUCCACUUUCAGAUAUUGUUGGAAACAAUCAUAACAACUGCGAUGAUGACAAGACUGAAUAAUAGGAAAGAAUUCUACUGGUAGUUCGGCCAAACAUAACGGACAUUCCAUCAAUCCAUUUUCGUUACUCUGAAAUAAAUGCAUACCUUUCCUGCAGAAGAAAGCACAGAACCUUUGCUGGAAGCGCGCUGCAGAUCUAUGUUGUGAAAUUGGAAAUGACUCGACCCAUUGCUUACUCUGGCCUCUCCUUUCUCAACGUCCGCUCUGCCGCUUGCUUGAUCUUUAGCUAUGAAAAUGUUUUCUAUUUUAAAAAAUUUUGUUCUCGCUAUUAUAUAUAUUGUAAUACAACUUGAUAAAAUUUGAAAAAUA